rnacentral:rRNA from 1 species
AUGGCUCCCAAUAGGGCUCCUGGACCUAAUAACAUCCCGGCCGAAUUUUACCAGGUGUGUUGGGAGAUUGUCAAAGAUGACAUUAUGGCCUUGUUUGAUCAUUUCCACCAAGGAAAACUGGAUGUGCAGCGGCUUAACUACGGGAUUAUUACCCUUCUCCUAGAAACAUCUGGGGCUGAGAAAAUCCAACAAUACAGACCCAUUUGUUUGUUGAGAUGCCCAUAUAAACUGAUUACGAAAGUCCUUGAUUGUAGAGUGGCUAUCUAUGCGGAUAAACUCAUCAGCCCGACCCAAAAUCCUUUUGUUAAAGGCAGAAAAAUUAUGGAUGGUGUCCUGUCUCUUCAUGAAACUCUUAACUACAUGUAUGUUAAGAAAAAAGCGGGGAUUGUCCUUAAACUGGAUUUUGAAAAAGCCUAUGACAAGGUUAACUAGGACUUUCUCUUAGAAUGUCACAAGAUGCGAGGCUUUAGUGAUACUUGGUGCGGGUGGGUUAAACAAAUACUCUACAAUGGGACUAUUAGUAUUAAACUUAACAGCAAUGUUGGCCCAUAUUUUCAAAGUAAAAAGGGGGUCCGCCAGGGAGACCCCCACUCUCCUUUUUUAUUCAACCUGGCUGUUCAGUGCCUCACCAAAAUGAUUAAAAAUGCUCAGAAAAAUAAGCUGAUAGUAGGCCUAGCUUCCGAUCUUAUCCCUGAUGGAGUGGCGGUCCUUCAAUACGCAGAUGACACCAUUAUCUGCAUAGAGGAUGACAUUGACAAAGCAAUCAACCUGAAGUUGUUGUUGUACAUGUUUGAGAUGAUGUCUGGCCUGAAAGUUAACUUUCAGAAGAGCGAAAUUCUUACUGUAGGUGGAGAUGAGACUGUUGUCAAUAAAUAUGCUGAGAUAUUUGAUUGUGAGGUUGGCAGCUUUCCACUUAAAUACCUAGGCAUGCCUGUUAGCUAUGCUAACCUGAAAACCUCUGAUUGGGAAUUCAUUGUUAGCAAAUACUUGAAAAGGUUCGAUGCCUGGAUUGGCAAUGCUGCCUCGAUGGGGGGGGGAGACAUAGCCUGCUUGAUUCGGUUGUCACACAGCUCUCCCUUUACCACAUGUCGAUGUGACUGA